rnacentral:rRNA from 1 species
UACGGAGGAUGCGAGCGUUAUCCGGAUUUAUUGGGUUUAAAGGGUGCGUAGGCGGACUAUUAAGUCAGUGGUGAAAGUUUGUCGCUUAACGGUAAAAUUGCCGUUGAUACUGGUAGUCUUGAGUGUAUUUGAGGUAGGCGGAAUGUGUGGUGUAGCGGUGAAAUGCUUAGAUAUCACACAGAACACCGAUUGCGAAGGCAGCUUGCUAAGAUACAACUGACGCUGAGGCACGAAAGUGUGGGGAUCAAACAGGAUUAGAUACCCUGGUAGUCCACACUGUAAACGAUGAUAACUGGAUGUUGGUUCGAACGGAUCAGCGUCUGAUGUGAAAGCAUUAAGUUAUCCACCUGGGGAGUACGUCGGCAACGAUGAA